rnacentral:misc_RNA from 1 species
GAUGAAGAACGUAGCGAAAUGCGAUAAGUAAUGUGAAUUGCAGAAUUCAGUGAAUCAUCGAAUCUUUGAACGCACCUUGCGCCCUUUGGACAUUCCGAAGGGCAUGCCUGUUUGAGUAUCAUGAACACCUCAACUCUCACGGCUUGUCCGUGAUGAGCUUGGACUUUGGGGGUCUUGCCAGCCUGUGGUCGGCUCCUCUCAAAUGGAUCAGCUUGCCAGUGUUUGGUGGCAUCACAGGUGUGAUAACUAUCUGCGCUUGUGGUUUUCCAUCAGAUAACCUUCAGUGAUAUGGAGGUUCGCUGGAGCUCACAAAUGUCUCUCCUUAGUGAGGACAGCUCUUUGAACGUUUGAUCUCAAAUCAGGUAGGACUACCCGCUGAACUUAAGCAUAUCAAUAAGCGGAGGA